rfam:Danio rerio chromosome 4, GRCz11 reference primary assembly.
CCAACGGCACUUUUCAGUGCCACGCAAACAUCAAAACACUUUUCC